CCUACGGGAGGCAGCAGUGGGGGAUAUUGCACAAUGGGGGGAACCCUGAUGCAGCGACGCCGCGUGGGUGAAGAAGCGCCUCGGCGCGUAAAGCCCUGUCAGCAGGGAAGCAAAUGACGGUACCUGAAGAAGAAGCCCCGGCUAACUACGUGCCAGCAGCCGCGGUAAUACGUAGGGGGCAUGCGUUAUCCGGAUUUACUGGGUGUAAAGGGGGCGCAGGCGGGGAUGCAAGCCAGGAGUGAAAGCCUGGGGCCCAACCCCGGGACUGCUCUUGGAACUGCGUGGCUGGAGUGCAGGAGGGGCAGGCGGAAUGCCGGGUGUAGCGGUGAAAUGCGUAGAUAUCAGGAGGAACCCCGGUGGCGAAGGCGGCCUGCUGGACUGCAACUGACGUUGAGGCACGAAAGCGUGGGGAGCAAACAGGAUUAGAUACCCCUGUAGUC
rnacentral:rRNA from 1 species